GGAAUCUUAGACAAUGGGGGAAACCCUGAUCUAGCCAUGCCGCGUGAGUGACGAAGGCCCUAGGGUCGUAAAGCUCUUUCGCCAGGGAAGAUAAUGACGGUACCUGGUAAAGAAGUCCCGGCUAACUCCGUGCACGCAGCCGCGGUAAUACGGAGGGGACUAGCGUUGUUCGGAAUUACUGGGCGUAAAGCGCGCGUAGGCGGGCUGUUAAGUCAGGGGUGAAAUCCUGGGGCUCAACCCCAGAACUGCCCUUGAUACUGGCAGUCUUGAGUUCGAGAGAGGUGAGUGGAAUUCCGAGUGUAGAGGUGAAAUUCGUAGAUAUUCGGAGGAACACCAGUGGCGAAGGCGGCUCACUGGCUCGAUACUGACGCUGAGGUGCGAAAGCGUGGGGAGCAAAC
rnacentral:rRNA from 1 species